rnacentral:tRNA from 1 species
UAGCUCAGUCAUUUGAGCGUGGCGCUAACAACGCUAAGGUCGCGGGUUCGAUUCCCGU